rnacentral:misc_RNA from 1 species
GUAACAAGGUUUCCGUAGGUGAACCUGCGGAAGGAUCAUUAAAUAAUCAAUAAUCUUGGCUUGUCCAUUAUUAUCUAUUUACUGUGAACUGUAUUAUUAUUUGACGUUUGAGGGAUGUUCCAAUGUUAUAAGGAUAGACAUUGGAGAUGUUAACCGAGUCAUAAUCAGGUUUAGGCCUGGUAUCCUAUUAUUAUUUACCAAAUGAAUUCAGAAUUAAUAUUGUAACAUAGACCUAAAAAAUCUAUAAAACAACUUUUAACAACGGAUCUCUUGGUUCUCGCAUCGAUGAAGAACGUAGCAAAGUGCGAUAACUAGUGUGAAUUGCAUAUUCAGUGAAUCAUCGAGUCUUUGAACGCAACUUGCGCUCAUUGGUAUUCCAAUGAGCACGCCUGUUUCAGUAUCAAAACAAACCCUCUAUCCAACUUUUGUUGUAUAGGAUUAUUGGGGGCCUCUCGAUCUGUAUAGAUCUUGAAACCCUUGAAAUUUACUAAGGCCUGAACUUGUUUAAUGCCUGAACUUUUUUUUAAUAUAAAGGAAAGCUCUUGUAAUUGACUUUGAUGGGGCCUCCCAAAUAAAUCUUUUUUAAAUUUGAUCUGAAAUCAGGUGGGAUUACCCGCUGAACUUAAGCAUAUCA